ACUACGGGUGGCAGCAGUGGGGGAUAUUGCACAAUGGGGGGAACCCUGAUGCAGCGACGCCGCGUGAGUGAAGAAGUAUUUCGGUAUGUAAAGCUCUAUCAGCAGGGAGGAAAAUGACAGUACCUGACCAAGAAGCCACGGCUAACUACGUGCCAGCAGCCGCGGUAAUACGGAGGGGGCAAGCGUUAUCCGGAUUUACUGGGUGUAAUGGGAGCGUAGGCGGUUAUGUAAGUCUGGAGUGAAAGCCCGGGGCUCAACCCCGGGACUGCUUUGGAAACUGUGUAGCUGGAGUACAGGAGGGGCAGGCGGAAUUCCUGGUGUAGCGGUGAAAUGCGUAGAUAGCAGGAGGAAUACCGGCGGCGAAGGCGGCCUGCUGGACUGAAACUGACGUUGAGGCUCGAAAGCGUGGGGAGCAAACAGGAUUAGAUACCCCUGUAGUC
rnacentral:rRNA from 1 species